GUAAUGUAAUUCUGAUCAACUAUUUAGGUUAUUUAAUUAAAUUGGUUUUCAUUUUAGACUAAAAAAUCUGAUUGAAUAUAAAAAGUAAAGAAAAUGCAAAGGCUGUUAUCAUUUGUGAAGACCAUAUCUUUAGUUGGACCCAACUUACAUGCUAAUAAUACUUUAUCAUCUGUUUUCAACACUUUGAAAGCUGGACCUGGCAUGCUAGUAACCACCAGUCCUUUAACUAGUAUAGUUUGUGGUAUGAAAGUGAAAGGUCGUGUGAGAAGACGCUGUAAAUCAUGUUAUUUUGUUGUUAGAGAUGAAAGAAUGUACAUAAUGUGUCACAAACAUCCUCGCCAUAAACAAAUGGCUAUGAAACCGAAACCACAUAAUACUUGGAUACUUACUCACGCAAGCCAAAGCCCUGUAAGACCAUGGUGAUUCAGUAUUUAGGAUAUAUGUAAUAUUAAAACUUAGGAAGAAUUAAUUAAAAAACUAUGUCUUCAAA